AGAUCCUGAGACCUCAUGCUCUGAGACGAUCAUCACCAUGUUCGCUGUGAAAGCAAUUUGCCUCCUCUUCACCAUCACUCUGCUUAUUGCAAUGGUUCCUGAGGGCCUUCCGGGUAUGAGAACAUGUUUCCGUGCCGCUGAUGGCUCGGCCCAUUGUACGAGUUAAUAAAGAUGAAGAGACGUCAGGCAUCCACUGAAUACUUCAAUCACUAAAAACACUGUGUAGUCAAUUUAAAUAAAGUAGUCAUGCAUACCUA